rnacentral:rRNA from 1 species
UUUUGGACAAUGGGCGCAAGCCUGAUCCAGCCAUUCCGCGUGAGUGAAGAAGGCCUUCGGGUUGUAAAGCUCUUUCGCAAGGGAAGAAAACUUACUUUCUAAUAAAGAGUGAGGUUGACGGUACCUUGAUAAGAAGCACCGGCUAACUACGUGCCAGCAGCCGCGGUAAUACGUAGGGUGCGAGCGUUAAUCGGAAUUACUGGGCGUAAAGCGUGCGCAGGCGGCUUUGUAAGUCAGAUGUGAAAUCCCCGAGCUCAACUUGGGAACUGCGUUUGAAACUACAAGGCUAGAAUAUGUCAGAGGGGGGUAGAAUUCCACGUGUAGCAGUGAAAUGCGUAGAGAUGGGAGGAAUACCAAUGGCGAAGGCAGCCCCCUGGAUUUGUAUUGACGCUCAUGCACGAA